rnacentral:tRNA from 1 species
GAUCCGUUAGCUCAGUUGGUAGAGCAUCUGACUUUUAAUCAGAGGGUCGAGCGUUCGAAUCGCUCACGGGUCACCA